CAAAAACAUUUUUUAAUGCUCUUAUAUUAAAUAAAGCCUGCUCCUUGUAAAAUAAAAAGCCGCAGAAAAUUUACUGUGCUAAGGUAGCAUAAUCACUUGUCUUUUAAUUAAAGGCUAGAAUGAAAGGCAUCACAAUUAAUUAACCCUCUUAACAAUAUUAUUUUAAUUUUCAGUAAAAAUUAAAAUAUUUUUAUAAUAAUAAUAGACGACAAGACCCUAUUGAACUUAACUGAAGUUUAGCUGGGGAAGCUAAAUAAUAAUGAUCUUAAUCUUCCUAUUUUAAUAAAAAACUCUCUAAAAGAAAUAAUCAAGUUACCAAAGGGAUAACAGCGUUAUAUCUUUUUUAAGCUCAUAUUAAUAAAUACUUAUGCGACCUCGAUGUUGAAUUAAUUUUACUCCCCUGUGCAAGAAUAGGAAUAGUGAGUCUGUUCGACUUUUAAAAAAUUACAUGAUCUGAGUUCAAACCGG
rnacentral:rRNA from 1 species